CCUGCCCAGCAGAAAGACCCGCGAAC
rnacentral:rRNA from 6 species